GACGAACGCUGGCGGCGUGCUUAACACAUGCAAGUCGAACGGAAAGGCCCUGCUCUUGUGGGGUGCUCGAGUGGCGAACGGGUGAGUAACACGUGAGUAACCUGCCCUUGACUUUGGGAUAACUUCAGGAAACUGGGGCUAAUACCGGAUAGGAGCUCCUGCUGCAUGGUGGGGGUUGGAAAGUUUCGGCGGUUGGGGCUGGACUCGCGGCUUAUCAGCUUGUUGGUGGGGUAGUGGCUUACCAAGGCUUUGACGGGUAGCCGGCCUGAGAGGGUGACCGGCCACAUUGGGACUGAGAGACGGCCCAGACUCCUACGGGAGGCAGCAGGGGGGAAUAUUGCACAAUGGGCGGAAGCCUGAUGCAGCAACGCCGCGUGCGGGAUGACGGCCUUCGGGUUGUAAACCGCUUUCGCCUGUGACGAAGCGUGAGUGACGGUAAUGGGUAAAGAAGCACCGGCUAACUACGUG
rnacentral:rRNA from 1 species